rfam:Triticum aestivum genome assembly, contig: Triticum_aestivum_CS42_TGACv1_scaffold_577132_7BL
CAGCUACUCCCUCCGUUCGGAAUUACUUGUCUUGGAAAUGGAUGUAUCUUAGUUCUAGAUACAUCCAUUUUCAAGACAAGUAAUUCCGAACCGAGGGAGUAGGUA